UACAGAGGGUGCGAGCGUUAAUCGGAAUUACUGGGCGUAAAGCGUGCGUAGGCGGUUGCGUAAGUCAGAUGUGAAAGCCCCGGGCUCAACCUGGGAAUUGCAUUUGAGACUGCGUAGCUAGGGUGCGGAAGAGGGAAGCGGAAUUUCCGGUGUAGCGGUGAAAUGCGUAGAUAUCGGAAGGAACACCAGUGGCGAAAGCGGCUUCCUGGGCCAGCACCGACGUUCAGGCACGAAAGCGUGGGGAGCAAACAGG
rnacentral:rRNA from 1 species